UGGGGAAUUUUGGACAAUGGGCGCAAGCCUGAUCCAGCCAUGCCGCGUGCAGGAUGAAGGCCUUCGGGUUGUAAACUGCUUUUGUACGGAACGAAAAGGUGCCUUCUAAUAAAGGGCGCUCAUGACGGUACCGUAAGAAUAAGCACCGGCUAACUACGUGCCUGCAGCCGCGGUAAUACGUAGGGUGCGAGCGUUAAUCGGAAUUACUGGGCGUAAAGCGUGCGCAGGCGGUUUUGUAAGACAGAGGUGAAAUCCCCGGGCUCAACCUGGGAACUGCCUUUGUGACUGCAAGGCUGGAGUGCGGCAGAGGGGGAUGGAAUUCCGCGUGUAGCAGUGAAAUGCGUAGAUAUGCGGAGGAACACCGAUGGCGAAGGCAAUCCCCUGGGCCUGCACUGACGCUCAUGCACGAAAGCGUGGGGAGCAAACA
rnacentral:rRNA from 1 species